AUCUGUUUUAUCCAUUUGCAGGGCAGUGAUCUGGUAUGUGGACAAGUAUGAUGAACGACUCCACCAGUUAAGUGCAGCAUCACCUUUGCAGACAAUGGAAUAUUCCGGACACAGGGUGCAGUCACUAUCAUAGCAGCGAAGAGUUGCCUCGAGCACUUUUGGUCAGCUUGCGAGCGAAGAGUACAGAUGUUACCAGUCGUCUCUAUUUUGCAGUCAGAAGAUUGAAAAGUUUGCCGCACAUGGGAAGUACGUGCACUACCUGAUUGAGGGAUCGGUAUUGAUGUCUGGCUUCGGCUUCUACCACUGGGUUUUCCAGCUUGGAACCAUCCAGGAUUUCUUGGAGAGUUGUCUUUCUUUGACCUGUUCUUGGGCAGUGAUCUGGUAUGUGGACAAGUACGAUGAACGACUCCACCAGUUAAGUGCAGCAUCACCUUUGCAGACAAUGGAAUAUUCCGGACACAGGGUGCAGUCACUAUCAUAGCAGCGAAGAGUUGCCUCGAGCACU